rnacentral:rRNA from 1 species
GAGGAAUAUUGGUCAAUGGGCGAGAGCCUGAACCAGCCAAGUCGCGUGAAGGAUGACUGUCUUAUGGAUUGUAAACUUCUUUUAUACGGGAAUAACAAGGGUCACGUGUGACCCCCUGCAUGUACCGUAUGAAUAAGCAUCGGCUAACUCCGUGCCAGCAGCCGCGGUAAUACGGAGGAUGCGAGCGUUAUCCGGAUUUAUUGGGUUUAAAGGGUGCGUAGGCGGUUUGUUAAGUCAGCGGUGAAAUCUAGAGGCUCAACCUCGAAACUGCCGUUGAAACUGGCGAACUUGAGUGUAGAUGAGGUAGGCGGAAUUCGUGGUGUAGCGGUGAAAUGCAUAGAUAUCACGAGGAACUCCGAUUGCGAAGGCAGCUUACUAAGGUACAACUGACGCUGAAGCACGAAAGCGUGGGUAUCAAACAGGAUUAGAUACCCUGGUAGUCCACGCAGUAAACGAUGAUAACUGGGCGUAUGCGAUAUACAGUAUGCUCCUAAGCGAAAGCGUUAAGUUAUCCACCUGGGGAGUACGCCGGCAACGGUG